rnacentral:piRNA from 1 species
UGACUGAAUCAGUGCACUACUCUGAGGCGU